rnacentral:rRNA from 1 species
GACGAACGCUGGCGGCGUGCUUAACACAUGCAAGUCGAGCGGUAAGGCCCUUCGGGGUACACGAGCGGCGAACGGGUGAGUAACACGUGGGUGACCUGCCUCUAGCUCUGGGAUAAGCCUGGGAAACUGGGUCUAAUACCGGAUAUGACUCCACGGCGCAUGUUGUGGGGUGGAAAGCCUUGUGUGGCUAGAGAUGGGCCCGCGGCCUA